AGAGUUUGAUUAUGGCUCAGGAUGAACGCUAGCGGCAGGCUUAACACAUGCAAGUCGAGGGGCAGCGGGGAGGAAGCUUGCUUUCUCCGCCGGCGACCGGCGCACGGGUGAGUAACACGUAUGCAACCUGCCCCUGUCAGGGGGACAACCCGCCGAAAGGCGGGCUAAACCCGCGUACAUGCCACCGGGGCAUCCCGGAGGCAGGAAAGGCUUCGGCCGGACAGGGAUGGGCAUGCGGCGCAUUAGGCAGUAGGCGGGGUAACGGCCCACCUAACCGACGAUGCGUAGGGGUUCUGAGAGGAAGGUCCCCCACACUGGUACUGAGACACGGACCAGACUCCUACGGGAGGCAGCAGUGAGGAAUAUUGGUCAAUGGUCGGGAGACUGAACCAGCCAAGCCGCGUGAGGGAGGAAGGUACAGAGUAUCGUAAACCUCUUUUGUCAGGGAACAAAGGCGGGGACGUGUCCCCGGAUGAGUGUACCUGAAGAAAAAGCAUCGGCUAACUCCGUGCCAGCAGCCGCGGUAAUACGGAGGAUGCGAGCGUUAUCCGGAUUUAUUGGGUUUAAAGGGUGCGCANGCGGUCUGUUAAUUCAGCGGUCAAAGCCCGGGGCUCAACCCCGGCCCGCCGUUGAAACUGGCAGUCUCGAGUUGG
rnacentral:rRNA from 1 species